UCAGCUGUCCGCUCAGCCGAGGCAGCUCGAUUCAUGGCGUUCUCGAAGCUCUUGGAGCAAGCCGGAGGCAUGGGCCUCUUCCAGACCCUGCAGGUGCUCACCUUCAUCCUCCCCUGCCUCAUAAUACCUUCCCAGAUGCUCCUGGAGAACUUCUCAGCCGCUGUCCCGGGCCACCGAUGCUGGACACACAUGCUGGACAAUGGCUCUGCGGUUCUCACAAACAUGACCCCCAAGGCCCUUCUGACCAUCUCCAUCCCGCCAGGCCCCAACCAGGGGCCCCACCAGUGCCGCCGCUUCCGCCAGCCGCAGUGGCAGCUCUUGGACCGCAAUGCCACGGCCACCAGCUGGAGUGAGGCCGACACAGAGCCGUGUGUGGACGGCUGGGUCUAUGACCGCAGCGUCUUCACCUCCACCAUCGUGGCCAAGUGGGACCUGGUGUGCAGCUCCCAGGGCUUGAAGCCCCUGAGCCAGUCCAUCUUCAUGUCCGGGAUCCUGGUGGGCUCCUUUAUCUGGGGCCUCCUCUCCUACCGGUUUGGGCGGAAGCCGAUGUUGAGCUGGUGCUGCCUGCAGUUGGCCGUGGCGGGCACCAGCACCAUCUUCGCCCCAACAUUCAUCAUCUACUGCGGCCUGCGGUUCGUGGCCGCUUUUGGGAUGGCUGGCAUCUUUCUGAGUUCACUAACACUGAUGGUGGAGUGGACCACGACCAGCAGGAGGGCGGUCACCAUGACGGUGGUGGGAUGUGCCUUCAGCGCAGGCCAGGCGGCGCUGGGCGGCCUGGCCUUUGCCCUGCGGGACUGGAGGACCCUCCAGCUGGCAGCAUCAGUGCCCUUCUUUGCCAUCUCCCUGAUAUCCUGGUGCUGAUGUCCAGCGUGAAGGAAGAGGUGCCCUCUGCAAAGGAGCCACGAUCGGUGCUAGACCUGUUCUGCGUGCCCGUGCUCCGCUGGAGGAGCUGCGCCAUGCUGGUGGUGAAGUAUGCUGUCCUGGUGUCCCUCCCCAAGGCAGGGCUGGGACAGGCAGGAGGCAGGGCAUCCAGGUGAAACAGCACCCGCAGGCCUCAAGGGGGUGCAUUUCUGUCUGGGACAGGACGCAGGCAGCCCCAGGAGGCAGGAGCCCUGGCAGGCAGCAGAGAGGGACUGUGCACAGGUGGGGUCUGGAGGCUGCCAUCUGCAGGAAGCCAGAGGAAAAGGCAGCUCUAGGCUGGGGGUUCCAGGGUCCCAGGGAGGUCCCAAGACAGAGGCAGAGCCAGUGUCCCUAGAGCCAGGGGACCAGCCACGGCCGAGGAGUACCACUGUUUGUCAGCGUUAGAGACUUACCACUUUCCUAGAGACCAUGGCCACGCUCCUAGAGGGUGAACCUGCAUUCGCUGACCCCUCCAUGCAACCCCACUUCACUGAUGGGGAAAGAGUAUCCCAGAGAGGUAAGGAACAAGCCCAAGAUGAUAGAACCUGCAUUGGAACAGGGCUGAGCUAGCACUUGGCUUACCGGCACUGUCACUGCCCAGGGCCCGCACGACCAGACCCUGGCCCUCCCCGGGACCCAAGGUCAUCUGGGGCCAGGAAAAGGCCCUUAAAACAAAUUCAGUUCCAGUGACAUCCAAAAGAGCAUAUUAAAAAGCAAGGACCAGUCAGGUGCAGUGGCUCAAGGCUGUAAUCCCUCACUUUGGGAGGCUGAGGCAGGAGGAUUGCUUGAGCCCAGGAGUUCAAGACCAGCCUGGGUAACAUAAUAAGACCCUCUCAUCUCUACUAAAAAUCAAAAAAAGAAGCAGGAGGAUCACUGGAGCCCACGAGAUAGAGGCUGCACUGAGCUGAGAUUGUGCUACUGCACUCCAGCCUGGGCGACAGGGCAAGAUUCUGUCAAAGGAAAAAAAAAAACCUAAGGACCUGGUUUGAUUAG
rnacentral:sRNA from 1 species